rnacentral:rRNA from 1 species
AUUGAACGCUGGCGGCAGGCCUAACACAUGCAAGUCGAACGGAGUGGCGGACGGGUGAGUAAUGUCUGGGAAACUGCCUGAUGGAGGGGGAUAACGUCCGGAAACGGGCGCUAAUACCGCAUACUAUCAGAUGAGCCUAGGUCGGAUUAGCUAGUUGGUGGGGUAAAGGCUCACCUAGGCGACGAUCCCUAGCUGGUCUGAGAGGAUGACCAGCCAAACUGGAACUGAGGCACGGUCCAGACUCCUACGGGAGGCAGCAGUGGGGAAUAUUGCACAAUGGGCGCAAGCCUGAUGCAGCCAUGCCGCGUGUAUGAAGAAGGCCUUCGGGUUGUAAAGUACUUUAAGUUGGGAGGCGUUACCAACAGAAUAAGCACCGGCUAACUUCGUGCCAGCAGCCGCGGUAAUUC